rnacentral:tRNA from 1 species
UCCGUGUUAGCUCAGCUGGCAGUAGCAACUGACUGUUAAUCAGUAGGUCCCUGGUUCGAUCCCAGGACACGGAGCCA